AUGGGGCUGUUAUGUGACCAACCUACCUGUCUGCCAGCAGGCAUGGGGCUGUUAUGUGACCAACCUACCUGUCUUCCAGCAGGCUUGGGGCUGUUAUGUGACCAACCUACCUGUCUGCCAGCAGGCAUGGGGCUGUUAUGUGACCAACCUACCUGUCUGCCAGCAGGCUUGAGGCUGUUAUGUGACCAACUUACCUGCCUGCCAGCAGGCAUGGGGCUGUUAUGUGACCAACCUACCUGCCUGCCAGUGGGCAUGGGGCUGUUAUGUGUCCAACCUACCUGUCUGCCAGCAGGCAUGGGGCUGUUAUGUGUCCAACCUACCUGUCUUCCAGCAGGCAUGGGGCUGUUAUGUGGACCAGCCUGCCAGUGGGCAUGGGGCUGUUAUGUGUCCAUCUACCUGCCUGCCAGCGGGCAUGGGGCUGUUAUGUAUCCAACCUACCUGUCUGCCAGCGGGCAUGGGGCUGUUAUGUGGACCAGCCUGCCAGCGGGCAUGGGGCUGUUAUGUGACCAACCUACCUGUCUUCCAGCGGGCAUGGGGCUGUUAUGUGACCAACCUACCUGUCUGCCAGCGGGCAUGGGGCUGUUAUGUGUCCAACCUACCUGUCUGCCAGUGGGCAUGGGGCUGUUAUGUGUCCAACCUACCUGUCUGCCAGCAGGCAUGGGGCUGUUAUGUGUCCAACCUACCUGUCUUCCAGCAGGCAUGGGGCUGUUAUGUGGACCAGCCUGCCAGUGGGCAUGGGGCUGUUAUGUGUCCAUCUACCUGCCUGCCAGCGGGCAUGGGGCUGUUAUGUGUCCAACCUACCUGUCUGCCAGCGGGCAUGGGGCUGUUAUGUGUCCAACCUACCUGUCUGCCAGCGGGCAUGGGGCUGUUAUGUGGACCAGCCUGCCAGCGGGCAUGGGGCUGUUAUGUGACCAACCUACCUGUCUGCCAGCGGGCAUGGGGCUGUUAUGUGACCAACCUACCUGUCUGCCAGUGGGCAUGGGGCUGUUAUGUGUCCAACCUACCUGCCUGCCAGCGGGCAUGGGGCUGUUAUGUGUCCAACCUACCUGUCUGCCAGCGGGCAUGGGGCUGUUAUGUGACCAACCUACCUGCCUGCCAGUGGGCAUGGGGCUGUUAUGUGACCAACCUACCUGCCUGCCAGUGGGCAUGGGGCUGUUAUGUGUCCAACCUACCUGCCUGCCAGCGGGCAUGGGGCUGUUAUGUGUCCAACCUACCUGUCUUCCAGCAGGCAUGGGGCUGUUAUGUGGACCAGCCUGCCAGUGGGCAUGGGGCUGUUAUGUGACCAACCUACCUGCCUGCCAGCGGGCAUGGGGCUGUUAUGUGUCCAACCUACCUGUCUGCCAGCGGGCAUGGGGCUGUUAUGUGUCCAACCUACCUGCCUGCCAGUGGGCAUGGGGCUGUUAUGUGUCCAACCUACCUGCCUGCCAGUGGGCAUGGGGCUGUUAUGUGACCAACCUACCUGUCUGCCAGCGGGCAUGGGGCUGUUAUGUGACCAACCUACCUGUCUGCCAGUGGGCAUGGGGCUGUUAUGUGUCCAACCUACCUGCCUGCCAGUGGGCUUGGGGCUGUUAUGUGACCAACCUACCUGCCUGCCAGUGGGCAUGGGGCUGUUAUGUGUCCAACCUACCUGCCUGCCAGUGGCCAUGGGGCUGUUAUGUGACCAACCUGCCUGCCUGCCUGCCUGCCAGCGGGCAUGGGGCUGUUAUGUGA
ensembl:lncRNA